UACGGGGGGGGCAAGCGUUGUUCGGAAUUACUGGGCGUAAAGGGCUCGUAGGUGGCCAACUAAGUCAGACGUGAAAUCCCUCGGCUUAACCGGGGAACUGCGUCUGAUACUGGAUGGCUUGAGUUUGGGAGAGGGACGCGGAAUUCCAGGUGUAGCGGUGAAAUGCGCAGAUAUCAGGAGGAACACCGGUGGCGAAGGCGGGUCUCUGGGCCGUAACUGACGCUGAGGAGCGAAAGCGUGGGGAGCGAACAGG
rnacentral:rRNA from 1 species